rnacentral:tRNA from 1 species
AUAGCUUUAGGUUAACAUAAACCUUACGUCUUCAAAACGUAGAAUUUUAAGCUUUU